rnacentral:rRNA from 1 species
UACGUAUGGUGCAAGCGUUAUCCGGAUUUACUGGGUGUAAAGGGUGCGUAGGUGGCAUGGCAAGUCAGAAGUGAAAGGCCGGGGCUCAACCCCGGGACUGCAUUGGAAACUGUUGUACUGGAGUACAGGAGAGGUAAGCGGAAUUCCUAGUGUAGCGGUGAAAUGCGUAGAUAUUAGGAGGAACACCAGUGGCGAAGGCGGCUUGCUGGGCUUUUACUGACGCUGAGGCUCGAAAGCGUGGGGAGCAA